rnacentral:rRNA from 1 species
CAGCACCUCAAGUGGUCAGGAUGAUUAUUGGGCCUAAAGCAUCCGUAGCCGGCUCUGUAAGUUUUCGGUUAAAUCUGUACGCUCAACGUACAGGCUGCCGGGAAUACUGCAGAGCUAGGGAGUGGGAGAGGUAGACGGUACUCGGUAGGAAGGGGUAAAAUCCUUUGAUCUAUUGAUGACCACCUGUGGCGAAGGCGGUCUACCAGAACACGUCCGACGGUGAGGGAUGAAAGCUGGGGGAGCAAACCGGAUUAGAUACCCGUGUAGUCC